rnacentral:misc_RNA from 1 species
GAUAAAGGGAUAAGGGCUUCUGCCAAAUGCUUUUCAUCAAGAUCAACUUGACUUUUUUCCUCAGUCAGACGGUCCAACUCUUCUUCUGCCUUCCUAACAUCACGCAAAGUAUUAGCUGCUUUCACUUUUUCCUCUCUUAGAGUGUGCCACCUUAUCUGAAUGUUGGCCAAAUCAUUUUCCAUAUAUCUUUGUUCAUCCCUUAGCUUCUCCAGUUCAUUGUGUAAACCAUCUUUGGUGUUUUG